rnacentral:lncRNA from 1 species
AAGAAAACCCGACCAGUAAACCAUUUUCUAUUAUGCAGGUUGCAGGAUAUAACAAAUAGCCAGUGGCGGAGCUAGGAUUUGUAUUUAUCGGGGUCAAAUUGCACAAAUAAUAAUUAUAGGGGUCAAUUUCUUCAAUGUACUAGAAUCAAUUUUCAAAUUAUAGCUAAAAAUUAACUAAAUUUCAAAGUUUCAUGGGUGUCAUUUGACCCCCAUGAUCUUUGGCUGCCUCCGCCCCUGCAACUAGCUGAUGUUAAACUUUGAUGGAAACAAUUAUAGAGAUUGACUAUUAUCCUCUUGACUAAGAGUAUUCUCCCAAUGAGUUUUAGUUUUUAAUUUGGUUGCAAUUUGCAAAUUUUGUUGUAAUUUCACAACGUUGAUGUGAAAUCCAUUACGUAGUAUAUAAUUGGAACUAAUCUAGGCAUAUAUCCAAAAACUUUGAUAUUUGGAUAUUUUUUUUUUGGUAUUUAUGUACCCAAAAAUAAUUGGAUUUUUAGCAGGUAUGAAAAUCUACACCCGAUCCAAUUUGAACUCGAAAGGACCCCAAUCGAAUCCAAUUUUUUUUUUACAUUUAUCCUAUUGGAUCCUAUAAUCCUCUACCUAAGAAAUCCGACUCCGAACGGUUCAUACCCGAACCAUGGUAGACAAUUGUUGGACUUAAUAAGUCCAACAAUUGUCUACCAUGGUGCCAUUUUCCGUAUGAACCGUUCGGGUAUGUGCCUUAUGUUAUUAGUAAUCAUCACAUUUCCAAUGAUUUAAUGUGGUAGUGAGAUUUAUAAUGGAAGAAAACUAUUAUAUGCAUGGUAGAGUCAAAAAAAAAAUAUGACUAUAUAUAUAAAACUUAUAAACAAGAAUAUAUAUAUAUCUAUAUAUAUAUAUAAAGUUAGCUUUUCUCUCUUCUCAUGAUGCCACCUAAUCAUCCACCUAAACAACAUUUUUAAUUUUACACUAAAAAUAAAAUAUGUAUUAUGGUCCUUUCCGAUUUCCGUAUUAGCUCUAAGUUCUUUCGGUCCUUUUUAUGAUCCCGACUUUCCGUAUUAUCUCUAAAUUCUUUCGAUCCUUUUUAUGAUCCCCGACUUUCCGUAUUAGCUUUAAGCUCUUUCGGUCGUUUUUAUGAUCCCCGACUUUGCGUAUUAGCUCUAAGCUCUUUCGGUCCAUUUUAUGAUCCCCGACUUUCCGUAUUAGCUCUAAGUUCUUUCGGUCCUUUUGAUGAUCCCAGACUUUCCAUAUUAGCUCUAAGUUCUUUCGGUCCAUUUUAUGAUCCCCGACUUUCCGUAUUAGCUCUAAGUUCUUUCGGUCCAUUUUAUGAUCCCCAACUUUCCGUAUUAGCUCUAAGUUCUUUCUGUCCUUUUUAUGAUCCCCGACUUUCCGUAUUAGCUCUAAGUUCUUUCGGUCCUAUUUAUGAUCCCCGAAUUUCCGUAUUAGCUCUAAGUUCUUUCGGUCCUUUUUAUAAUCCCCGACUUUCCGUAUUAGCUCUAAGUUGUUUCGGUCCUUUUUAUGAUCCCCGACUUUCAGUAUUAGCUCUAUGUUCUUUCGGUUCUUUUUAUGAUUCCCGAUUUUCCGUAUUAGCUUUAAGUUCUUUCGGUCCUUUUUAUGAUCCCUGAUUUUCCGUAUUAGCUCUUAAUUCUUUCGGUCCUUUUUAUGAUCCCCGAAUUUCUGUAUGAGCUCUACGACUUUCCGUAUUAGCUCUAAAUUCUUUCGGUCCUUUUAUGAUCCCCGACUUUCCGUAUUAGCUCUAAGUUCUUUCGGUCCUUUUAAUGAUCCCCGACUUUCUGUAUUUGCUCUAAGUUUUUUUGGUCCGUUUUAUGAUCCCCGACUUUCAGUAUUUGCUCUAAGUUCUUUCGGUCUUUUUAUGAUCCCCGACUUUCCGUAUUAACUCUAAGUUCUCUCGGUCUUUUUUAUCAUCCCCAACUUUCAUUAUUAGCUCUAAGUUCUCUCGGUCCUUUUUACGAUCCCCGACUUUCCGUAUUAGCUCUAAGCUCUUUCGAUCAUUUUUAUGAUCCCUGACUUUCCGUAUUAGCUCUAAGUUCUUUCGGUCCUUUUUAUGAUCCCUGACUUUCCGUAUUUGCUCUAAGUUCUUUCGGUCCUUUUAUGAUCCCCGACUUUCCGUAUUAGCUCUAAGUUCGUUCGGUCCUUUUAUGAUCCCUGACUUACCGUAUUAGCUCUAAGUUCUUUCGGUCCUUUUUAUGAUCCCGACUUUCCGUAUUAGCUCUAAGUUCUUUCGGUCCUUUGAUUAUCCCCGACUUUCCGUAUUAGCUCUAAGUUCUUUCGGUCCUUUUAUGAUCCCCGACUUUCCGUAUUAGCCCCCGCACGUUUCGGUCCUUUUUAUGAUCCCCGACUUUCCGUAUUAGCUCUAAGUUCUUUCGGUCCUUUUUAUGAUCCCCGACUUUCCGUAUUAGCUCUAAGUUCUUUCGGUCCUUUUUAUGAUCCCCGACUUUCCGUAUUAGCUCUAAGUUCUUUCGGUCCUUUUUAUGAUCCCCGACUUUCCGUAUUAGCUCUAAGUUCUUUCGGUCCUUUUUAUGAACCCCGACUUUCCGUAUUAGCUCUAAGUUCUUUCGGUCCUUUUUAUGAACCCCGACUUUCCGUAUUAGCUCUAAGUUCUUUCGGUCCUUUUUAUGAUCCCUGACUUUCCGUAUUAGCUCUAAGUUCUUUCGGUCCUUCUUAUGAUCCCCGACUUUCCGUAUUAGCUCUAAGUUCUUUCGGUCCUUUUAUGAUCCCCGACUUUCCGUAUUAGCUCUAAGUUCUUUCGGUCUUUCUUAUGAUCCCCGACUUUCCGUAUUAGCUCUAAGUUCUUUCGGUCCUUUUUAUGAUCCCCGACUUUCCGUAUUAGCUCUAAGCUCUAUCGGUCCUUUGUAUGAUCCCCGACUUUCCGUAAUAGCUCUAAGCUCUUUCGGUCCUUUGUAUGAUCCCCGACUUUCCGUAUUAGNNNNNNNNNNNNNNNNNNNNNNNNNNNNNNNNNNNNNNNNNNNNNNNNNNNNNNNNNNNNNNNNNNNNNNNNNNNNNNNNNNNNNNNNNNNNNNNNNNNNUUUUUUAUAAUCCCCGACUUUCCGUAUUAGCUCUAAGUUCUUUCGGUCCUUUUUAUGAUCCCCGACUUUUCGUAUUAGCUCUAAGUUCUUUCGGUCCUUUUUAUGAUCCCCGACUUUUCGUAUUAGCUCUAAGUUCUUUCGGUCUUUUUUAUGAUCCCCGACUUUCCGUAUUAGCUCUAAGCUCUUUCGGUCCAUUUUAUGAUCCCCCGACUUUCCGUAUUAGCUCUAAGCUCUUUCGGUCCAUUUUUAUGAUCCCCGACUUUGCGUAUUAGCUCUAAGUUCUUUCGGUUGUUUUAAGAUCCCCGACUUUCCGUAUUAGCUCUAAGUUCUUUCGGUCCUUUUUAAUGAUCCCCGACUUUUCGUAUUACCUCUAAGUUUUUUCGGUCCUUUUUAUGAUCCCCGACUUUCCGUAUUAGCUCUAAGUUCUUUCGGUCCUUUUGAUGAUCCCCGACUUUCCGUAUUAGCUCUAAGUUCUUUCGGUCCUUUUUAUGAUCCCCGACUUUCCGUAUUAUCUCUAAGUUCUUUCGAUCCUUUUUAUGAUCCCCGACUUUCCGUAUUAGCUCUAAGUUCUUUCGGUUCCUUUUACGAUCCCCGACUUUCCGUAUUAGCUCUAAGUUCUUUCGGUCCUUUUUAUGAUCCCCGACUUUCCGUAUUAUCUCUAAGUUCUUUCGAUC